rnacentral:rRNA from 1 species
UACAGAGGGGGCAAGCGUUGUUCGGAAUUACUGGGCGUAAAGGGCGCGUAGGCGGCCUGCUAAGUCGAACGUGAAAUCCCCGGGCUCAACCCGGGAACUGCGUCCGAUACUGACAGGCUUGAAUCCGGGAGAGGGAUGUGGAAUUCCAGGUGUAGCGGUGAAAUGCGUAGAUAUCUGGAGGAACACCGGUGGCGAAGGCGGCAUCCUGGACCGGCAUUGACGCUGAGGCGCGAAAGCCAGGGGAGCAAACGGG